AGGAAGUAAACAACAAACAACACACCCUGGGUCUGAGUCUUCUCUGAGGAACUGUGCUUCUCUCCUCCAACUGGCCAUGGAUUCAAAGCAGUGCAAAGACUUCCUUCCUGAACGCAUUCUAUGCAUCCACCGAUUGCCUGCAGCUCUUCAUCUUGAGGUGGGACUCCACGACACUUCCCUCAUCCACUGUGGCAUAGCAACUAGUUUUGUCAUCACGCAGAUCUCCUUAGGCCACCGCACUACUGAGAUUGGAGAUUGUUCCUGCAGCAGCUUCCCAGUCUGGUCUCGAAGACAAGAGUACCUUUCACCCCUCAUCAAAGAAGCUUCUUCUUGCAACAGAUGGAGACUAUUACAGAGUUCCAGAACUGGUCAAAUGUAGAGAGUAAGUGUCUGUGAGAUGCUUAACUCUACAUGACACAUCGUCAGUGCAGUCUCUACACAUAUGAUGAAGGCAUCUCUCACCUCUCACCAGAGAAGUUUCCUUAUGCAGCAGAUGGUGAUUAACACAGAAACCCACAAUUGGUCAGUGUGCGGAGAAGACGAGGCUGCAGAGUGCUUACCCUGAAUAGGACACCGAUUUCAAAUCUCUGCCUCCUGAGGCUCAGGGGUCAGGAAGAAGAAGAUAAAAAGAUCCAUAGGUGGUGGAUGACCACAGGAAACAGAGUCUUCCAGACAGCUGGUCAGUUGCUCAUAUGAACUCUCAGCAAUGGUGACAGCUUGCACAGGCCCUGUGCAAGCUCAAACCAGACAAAAUCCCAGCAGAGACAUGGGGAAGGAGGGAGGUGAAAAAUCCCAUCCCAACCUAAGGAACUUUUGGCAGUUGAUAGCCUCAGAGAUGGGGAAAGACCGUGUCUAACAGGCAUGAGAGUCUUGGUGGGCCCGGAGGAUUGACCCACACUGAAGGACUUUAGGGGACACAAAUCAGACUCUAUAGGCCAUAUUGCAUAUAUGAGAGUGCCUUCAAUUGGGUGGGGGGGAUAGUUGAGGAAACGCAGAUAUGGGAGGGGUGUCAAUACUGUCAAAGCAUAUUGUAUGAAAAUC